UACAGAGGGUGCAAGCGUUGCUCGGAAUUACUGGGCGUAAAGCGUAGGUAGGCGGCCUUUUAAGUGGGGUGUGAAAGCCCUGGGCUCAACCCAGGAACUGCGCUCCAGACUGGAAGGCUUGAAUGUCGGAGAGGGUGGUGGAAUUCCCAGUGUAGAGGUGAAAUUCGUAGAUAUUGGGAGGAACACCAGUGGCGAAGGCGGCCACCUGGACGAACAUUGACGCUGAGCUACGAAAGCGUGGGGAGCAAACAGG
rnacentral:rRNA from 1 species